rnacentral:rRNA from 1 species
UACGUAGGGGGCAAGCGUUAUCCGGAUUUAUUGGGCGUAAAGAGCUCGUAGGCGGUUUGUUGCGUCGGCUGUGGAAAUCCCGAGGCUCAACCUCGGGUCUGCAGUCGAUACGAGCAAACUAGAGUGUUGCAGGGGAGACUGGAAUUCCUGGUGUAGCGGUGAAAUGCGCAGAUAUCGAGAGGAACACCUGCGGCGAAGGCAGGUCUCUGGGCCACUACUGACGCUGAGAAGCGAAAGCUGGGGAGCGAACAGG